rfam:Physcomitrella patens subsp. patens PHYPAscaffold_47 genomic scaffold, whole genome shotgun sequence.
GAUCGGUGAUGAAGAAUUCUAGGCUUGUGUCUCAAACAUUCGCAGUGGCCGCCUAAAGCUUUUGUCUUGCGGGACUAGAGAGCUAAUGCAGCUUUCAAACCUUCCUUGGAUAUCUAAGACU